AUGGACCCAUCUGCAGGGGAUCAUAAAACCAGCAGAGACAAGAUCUUGUCUAAGACAUUUUCAGAAGCUUUGCCCAUGAGAACUAUAAGGACUUCUCCAGACCUGGUGGCUGCUGCUAUGAUCUCUGCCCCAAAGGAGCAUCUGACAAACAUCCAAAGGGCUUCUGGACCCACUGGAUUCUUCUGGAGGAAGCAAAGGAGGACCAAUGACUGGAAUAGUAAAGAACUCCAGGAUUCAUGAUGAACUAAUUGCUAGAGCAAAAAUCUCCAAGAUCUUCCUGACUUAUGAUGGGGAAGGGGUAACUGAAGUUGGAUGAGACAGUAUACAAACAUGAUUUCCAGGUUUACCUAAACUGAACAAUGGAAGACUGUAGAUGACGACAUUAAGAUUUCUCAAGAAUAUGGAAGAUUAUUACUCACUUCUGAUGGGACCUUGUAAGUCACCUGAAAACAAUUCACAUGAAAAACAACUUUUACAAAAUGUCAAGUUAUGCUACAACAUUCACAUAAUAUACAGUACAACCCUGAUCUCUUGGCUGUCAUAAAGUGUUUCUUACCUCUAAACCAAAGUUUCAUUUUAUAAUUUAAUUUUUUUCAUUUUUCUUAUCUUCUUAGCUUAAGAAAAGCUCAUUGCAGGUCGGGCACAGUGGUUCAUGCCUGUAAUCUCAGAACUUUGUGAGGCUAAGGCAGGUGGAUCACCCAAGGUUAAGAGUUUGAGACCAGCCCGACCAACAUGGUGGAGCCCUGUCUCUACUAAAAAUACCAGAACUAGUUGGGUGUUGGUGGCAGAUGCCUGUAAUCCCAGCUACUGGGGAGGUUGAGGCAGGAGAAUCACUUGAACCCAGGAGGUGGAGGUUGCGGUGAGCCAAGAUAUGCCAUUGCACUCCAGCAUGGGUGAUAGAGUGGAACUCCAUCUCAAAAAAAAAAAAAAAAAAAGAAAAAAAAAAAACAGAAAAGGAAAGAUCAUUGCAAACUUUUUGUGUGUUUUUCAUAUAUGCUUGCAGAGGGUUGUAAAAUUUUAUUGCGAUUAUUUGUGGCAAUUAUUUGUGGUUUAAGCUGAAACUUUUCUAAUAUUUCUUUAGCAAUUGUGGAAAAGCAUGCUAUUUCCUUUCCAUAUUCAAUUGUUUCUUCUGUAUUUAUUACCCUAGCUAUAGGAUUCUGUCUUUUGAACCUCCCCUGCAGUUAGGUAUGGCCACGUCAUGAAGUUUUAAGCCAAUAAUUUGUAAGCAGUGUGCUAUGAGUACCUUCUAAAAAACCUUCCUCCUUCUUUUCUUUCUCAUUUUCAUUACAGUAGUCUGUAGUGAAGAUCCAAUAGCUGGAGAUCAAUAGUCAUCCUACGUAAUGCAGGCAGGGGUGAUGGGCAACAUGGUCUGUUAACUCCCUUUCUGGAAGACAAAUUUCACAAGACUAAGAACCCUACAGUUCAAUUUAAAGAGCUGCCAUUCUGGGCACUGACAUGCUUCCACAGAGAUGUUUUGUUGCAAAAAGCAGGCAUGCACUCAGAGAAGAUUAUAGAAACAGGACAUUGGUUGUAAGAAGAGGGGCUCAUUUUGGACAGUACAGCCAGGUCUCAUGGAUGUUCCAACUCUUUAGGCUGACUUGAUCACCUAUCACAGGCUUUCCCUGCUCCUGGGACAACCUGGCCUCUUGCCUCAGUGAAAACUGGCUGCUUCUGCAAAGCUCGUUGUUUCUCCCAUGGUUUCUGUGUCCUUGUCCCUACGUCUUUGGCUUACAUGUGAGGUGAUAUCAACCAACCCUGACACUGAUCCCAACUCCACAUAUAUUGUGGAACAGAGGUUGUGUUUUUUUGGUUUCACAGGACAAAAUAUUUUUAAAAAUAAUAGAUUUUUCUUAGGUUGGCCCAGGUCCCAUCUACUGUAGGUAGGGGAAACUUACUCAAGGUCAGGAUGAUGGCAUAUAUUCCAUGAUGUAUUCAGAUCUUAUUGUAUCUCUGGUAUCAAAAAUAAUAAUGCAUGGUCCAACUUUUUAAAACAAAUUGGAAUUUUAGAAAUGGACUUUUACAAUUGCUCUGAAUCUUUGAAUAAGAACAUUAGAUUGAAUUUAGAAACAGUCACAAAAAUGUUCAAUAAAGCCUGGAAAAAAGUGCA
rnacentral:lncRNA from 13 species